UUCGAUUCUGGCUCAGGAUGAACGCUAGCGACAGGCUAACACAUGCAAGUCGAGGGGCAGCACGGGAGUAGCAAUACUUGGUGGCGACCGGCGCACGGGUGAGUAACGCGUAUGCAACUACCUAUCAGAGGGGAAUAACCGGCGAAAGUCGGACUAAUACCGCAUAAAACAGGGGCACCGCAUGGUGAUAUUUGUUAAAGAAAUUCGCUGAUAGAUGGGCAUGCGUUCCAUUAGGUAGUUGGUGAGGUAACGGCUCACCAAGCCGACGAUGGAUAGGGGAACUGAGAGGUUGGUCCCCCACACUGGUACUGAGACACGGACCAGACUCCUACGGGAGGCAGCAGUGAGGAAUAUUGGUCAAUGGGCGGGAGCCUGAACCAGCCAAGUCGCGUGAAGGAAGAAGGAUCUAUGGUUCGUAAACUUCUUUUGCAGGGGAAUAAAGUGCAGGACGUGUCCUGUUUUGUAUGUACCCUGAGAAUAAGGAUCGGCUAACUCCGUGCCAGCAGCCGC
rnacentral:rRNA from 1 species